rnacentral:lncRNA from 1 species
AUAUGGCACGUGAUCUCCUACAGCUUGUCACCCUUUGAGCAGCGUGCCUUCCCAAACUAUUUCAGCAAAGGCAUCUCCAACGUGCUGCGCUGCACUGGAGAGAGCACCCUGCGCUUGGCACCGCCGUUUGUAGUGUUCUACCUGAUCUACAUAUGGGGCAACCCGGAGUUUGAGCAGUCCAAAAGGAAGAAUCCAGCCAUGUACGAUAAUGACAAGUAG